AGCGUGCUUGGGCGAGAGUAGUACUAGGAUUGGUGACCUCCUGGGAAGUCCUCGUGUUGCACCCC
rnacentral:rRNA from 1 species